AAUCAGCUUCAAAAUCAGCCUCAAAAUCAGCCAAGGGCCUGAGGGGAGAAUGGGGAAAAAUCCAGGAAGGUGAAGAAAGAGAAGCUCGAGCUGUUUUCCUCGCAUGUUGAUGUUAUUUGAGGCAUUCAGCCAAAAUUCCUCGACAGGAAUCACAUCAGGGAUGUGUCCCCAGCAAGAAAAUGUCCUGUUCAUCAGUGAGGGGCUGUGACAGGGGGUUAGGAGAGACCAGCCCUCCACAGGGUCUUGCCCUUUCACCAUCCAGCUUUUCCCAAGCAGGAUCAGAAGCUGAAUUUGAGAAUUUUUACAAGGAUGUUCCCCGUCUGGGAUUUUCACAUUUUCUGGAACUGUUUGGCCUUGAAGAAAAGCCUGGACCAGAGCUGGGAGCAAGACUGGAGGCUCCUCCACAUUUCCAGAGAUUCUGCAAGAGGUCACGGGACUGGUCACCGUCCCAGAGGACACAGAAAUGCACAGAACUCGGUGCCCAUCCCCUCAGGGAUAUCCUCACUGCCCUUUUUAACCCCUUAAAUGGGGGUCACCCCUUUAUUUUCACCAGUUCUCUCCAGGGCUGGGCAGGUAGGAGGAAGCAUCUCUAUCAGUGAAACCUCCCAGGGGGUGUGGACGAGUGAGCUGGAUGGAGAGGAGGAAACAUUUGCAUUUACCUCAUCACAGCCCGGGUAUAAAACGGGCUGGGGAGGCGUGAGGCUUUCUCAGUUCCCAGGUGCAGGUGGGCAAGGAGGAGGCACCAAAGGGGGUCAUGGCAGCUUUCCUCCUCCUGGCACCCCUCCUGCUGCUGGGGCCGGUGGCUGGCCAGCCCCAGGCAGAGAUGGAAGGGUGCCUUCGGCUCUGGAACGCGACUGAAGGGAAUUUCUCUGUGGAAACAGCACCUGAGACUUACCAGGCCAACACAACCUACCAGGUGAUGAUAAAGGACGACAGAAACCACAGCAACAGCUCAGGGCAGUACCUGCUGCAGGCCCUGUCCCCCCAGAACACCUCGGUGGGGGAGUGGAUGGAGGCUGACACGGGGAAUUGCAGCUCUGUGCACACAGCGAUAUUAAACAUCACCCAGAACACGGCCCGCUGGACAUCCCCAAAUACAAACCUGUCCUCUGUGCAAAUAAGCGGCAGAAAGCACCACGUUUCCCACCACGCCCUCGACCGACUCGGUGUGCAGGGCUCGGAGCAGCUCCCUGCUGCCGGCUGCCCUGCUGCUCCUCACGGGCGGCCUGCUCUCCUAGGGGCCAGCACAGGAGGGCAGCCAGCUGUGCUGCCCCUUUUCCUGCUCGGGAAGGACGGGGCUGAGCUGAUUUACUCAGGAGAACGGUUCGUUUGUGUGUGUUCGGGUGAUAAAUGCACUUCCACGGUAAAUGAUAAAGGUUUGCGUGAGCGCCGGGCUGAUCCUCCCCCCGCUCCCCUCACCCACGGCCUCAGCAAAAGGAAAUAUUUCACAGCAGGGACCCCUCUGCCCUGGCUUUUCAGACACAGAAAUGGGUGAGCAGACCCCACUGAACACGGGUGAAUCCAUGGUCUCCUCAUCCCCUGGAAUUCUGUGAAGCACCAAGUGCCUGAAGAGAGGAGGAUUCCUCCUCCUCCCCUCCUCCUCCUCCUCCUCCUCCUCCUCCCAGGGCACCGGAGCUGCUGAGAAGCUCCAGGGCAGGUCUGGGUUUGCCUCUCCAUCCGCAGGGCUCAGGAGCAGAGCUGAGCCUGCCAGGGGAAAUCUGCUCAAAGCCCACCUGAACAGCUCCAGGGAAGCGCAGUCAGCUCCCCACCCCUGCCCUCCACACCAAGCCCUAGCAAUUCAUCCUCCGUGUUGUUAUUUGCUCCAAAAUCCCCCAAAUUUUGUUCUUUCAGCAAAGUUUCUCUUUGUUUUCCCUCUAUUUUUUUUCCUGGUUUUUCUGGGCAUUUUUUUUUCUUUUUUUUUUUUUUAAUUAAUCAACAGUUGAUUUUGCUGUAGGGCAAGAUUGCGUGGGCCAAUGGAUGUCUUGAUUUUAUUGUUGUUUGUAUUUUUAUAAGGGAAAAACUUUUAUUUAGAAAAUUUCCAACUUGUGGGAAGCAAUUUUUUUGUUUUUCUUAAACCGAUCUAAAUAAAAUAAGGAAUUAAAAUUGCUUCUUGCA
ensembl:lncRNA